CAGUCGCCGCGGUAAUACGGAGGGUGCAAGCGUUAAUCGGAAUUACUGGGCGUAAAGCGCACGCAGGCGGUCUGACAAGUCAGAUGUGAAAUCCCCGGGCUUAACCUGGGAACUGCAUUUGAAACUGUCAGGCUGGAGUCUUGUAGAGGGGGGUAGAAUUCCAGGUGUAGCGGUGAAAUGCGUAGAGAUCUGGAGGAAUACCGGUGGCGAAGGCGGCCCCCUGGACAAAGACUGACGCUCAGGUGCGAAAGCGUGGGGAGCAAACAGGAUUAGAUACCCGUGUAGUCCCUGUCUCUUAUAC
rnacentral:rRNA from 1 species